GAUGAACGCUGGCGGCGUGCUUAACACAUGCAAGUCGAACGAUGAAGCCCAGCUUGCUGGGUGGAUUAGUGGCGAACGGGUGAGUAACACGUGAGUAACCUGCCCUUAACUCUGGGAUAAGCCUGGGAAACUGGGACUAAUACCGGAUAGGAGCGUCCACCGCAUGGUGGGUGUUGGAAAGAUUUUUCGGUUUUGGAUGGACUCGGGGCCUAUCAGCUUGUUGGAGAGGGAAUGGCUCACCACGGCGACGACGGGUAGCCGGCCUGAGAGGGUGACCAGCCACACUGGGACUGAGACACGGCCCAGACUCCUACGUGAGGCAGCAGGGGGGAAUAUUGCACAAUGGGCGCAAGCCUGAUGCAGCGACGCCGCGUGAGGGAUGACGGCCUUCGGGUUGUAAACCUCUUUCAGUAGGGAAGAAGCGAAAGUGACGGUACCUGCAGAAGAAGCACCGGCUAACUACGUG
rnacentral:rRNA from 1 species